rnacentral:rRNA from 1 species
UGUAAGCCGAUGAAGGUGUGUUGAGAAGCAUGCUGGAGGUAUCAGAAGUGCGAAUGCUGACGUGAGUAACGACAAAACGGGUGAAAAACCCGUUCGCCGAAAGACCAAGGGUUCCAGUCCAACGUUAAUCGGGGCUGGGUGAGUCGACCCCUAAGGCGAGGCCGAAAGGCGUAGUCGAUGGGAAAAUGGUUAAUAUUCCAUUACUUCUGUGUAAUGCGAUGAGAGGACGGAGAAGGCUAAAUCAGCCUGGCGUUGGUUGUCCAGGUGAAAGGAUGUAGGCAUGUAUCUUAGGCAAAUCCGGGGUACUCUAUGCUGAGAUCUGAUAGCAAGCUGUACUUGUACAGCGAAGUGGUUGAUGCCAUGCUUCCAGGAAAAGUCUCUAAGCUUCAGUUACACAGGAAUCGUACCCGAAACCGACACAGGUGGUCAGGUCGAGUAGACCAAGGCGCUUGAGAGAACUCUGCUGAAGGAACUAGGCAAAAUGGUACCGUAACUUCGGGAGAAGGUACGCUGUUGUUGGUGAUGGAACUCGCUUCCUGAGCUGACGACAGCCGCAGAAACCAGGCCGCUGCAACUGUUUAUUAAAAACAUAGCACUCUGCAAACACGAAAGUGGACGUAUAGGGUGUGAUGCCUGCCCGGUGCUGGAAGGUUAAUUGAUGGGGUUAGCGUAAGCGAAGCUCUUGAUCGAAGCCCCAGUAAACGGCGGCCGUAACUAUAACGGUCCUAAGGUAGCGAAAUUCCUUGUCGGGUAAGUUCCGACCUGCACGAAUGGCAUAAUGAUGGCGGCGCUGUCUCCAGCAGAGGCUCAGUGAAAUCGAAAUCGCUGUGAAGAUGCAGUGUACCCGCGGCUAGACGGAAAGACCCCGUGAACCUUUACUGCAGCUUGACACUGAACUUUGACCUUACUUGUGUAGGAUAGGUGGGAGGCUUUGAAGCUGGAACGCUAGUUCCAGUGGAGCCGUCCUUGAAAUACCACCCUGGUAAUGUUGAGGUUCUAACUCUGUCCCGUGAUCCGGGACGAGGACCGUGUCUGGUGGGUAGUUUGACUGGGGCGGUCUCCUCCUAAAGAGUAACGGAGGAGUACGAAGGUGCGCUCAGCGUGGUCGGAAAUCACGCGUAGAGUAUAAAGGCAAAAGCGCGCUUAACUGCGAGACCCACAAGUCGAGCAGGUACGAAAGUAGGUCUUAGUGAUCCGGUGGUUCUGUAUGGAAGGGCCAUCGCUCAACGGAUAAAAGGUACUCUGGGGAUAACAGGCUGAUACCGCCCAAGAGUUCAUAUCGACGGCGGUGUUUGGCACCUCGAUGUCGGCUCAUCUCAUCCUGGGGCUGAAGCAGGUCCCAAGGGUAUGGCUGUUCGCCAUUUAAAGAGGUACGCGAGCUGGGUUUAGAACGUCGUGAGACAGUUCGGUCCCUAUCUACCGUGGGCGCUGGAAAUUUGAGAGGAUCUGCUCCUAGUACGAGAGGACCAGAGUGGACGAACCUCUGGUGUACCGGUUGUGACGCCAGUCGCAUCGCCGGGUAGCUAUGUUCGGAAGGGAUAACCGCUGAAAGCAUCUAAGCGGGAAGCCUACCUCAAGAUAAGAUUUCCCUAGGACUUUAUGUCCUCUAAAGAGCCGUUCGAGACUAGGACGUUGAUAGGUUGGAUGUGGAAGCAUAGUGAUAUGUGAAGCUGACCAAUACUAAUUGCUCGUGAGGCUUGACUAU